rnacentral:rRNA from 1 species
GUAUGCAACUUACCUAUCAGAGGGGGAUAACCCGGCGAAAGUCGGACUAAUACCGCAUGAAGCAGGGGCCCCGCAUGGGGAUAUUUGCUAAAGAUUUAUCGCUGAUAGAUAGGCAUGCGUUCCAUUAGGCAGUUGGCGGGGUAACGGCCCACCAAACCGACGAUGGAUAGGGGUUCUGAGAGGAAGGUCCCCCACAUUGGUACUGAGACACGGACCAAACUCCUACGGGAGGCAGCAGUGAGGAAUAUUGGUCAAUGGGCGCGAGCCUGAACCAGCCAAGUCGCGUGAGGGAUGAAGGUUCUAUGGAUCGUAAACCUCUUUUAUAAGGGAAUAAAGUGCGGGACGUGUCCCGUUUUGUAUGUACUUUAUGAAUAAGGAUCGGCUAACUCCGUGCCAGCAGCCGCGGUAAUACGGAGGAUCCGAGCGUUAUCCGGAUUUAUUGGGUUUAAAGGGAGCGUAGAUGGAUGUUUAAGUCAGUUGUGAAAGUUUGCGGCUCAACCGUAAAAUUGCAGUUGAUACUGGAUGUCUUGAGUGCAGUUGAGGCAGGCGGAAUUCGUGGUGUAGCGGUGAAAUGCUUAGAUAUCACGAAGAACUCCGAUUGCGAAGGCAGCUUACUGGAUUGUAACUGACGCUGAUGCUCGAAAGUGUGGGUAUCAAACAGGAUUAGAUACCCUGGUAGUCCACACAGUAAACGAUGAAUACUCGCUGUUGGCGAUAUACAGUCAGCGGCCAAGCGAAAGCAUUAAGUA